rnacentral:rRNA from 1 species
UGAGGAAUAUUGGUCAAUGGACGCAAGUCUGAACCAGCCAAGUAGCGUGCAGGAUGACGGCACUAUGGGUUGUAAACUGCUUUUAUAUGGGGAUAAAGUGGGGAACGUGUUCCCUUUUGCAGGUACCAUAUGAAUAAGGACCGGCUAAUUCCGUGCCAGCAGCCGCGGUAAUACGGAAGGUUCGGGCGUUAUCCGGAUUUAUUGGGUUUAAAGGGAGCGUAGGCCGUUUGGUAAGCGUGUUGUGAAAUGUAGGAGCUCAACUUCUAGAUUGCAGCGCGAACUGUCAGACUUGAGUGCGCACAACGUAGGCGGAAUUCAUGGUGUAGCGGUGAAAUGCUUAGAUAUCAUGAAGAGCUCCGAUUGCGAAGGCAGCUUACGGGAGCGCAACUGACGCUGAAGCUCGAAGGUGCGGGUAUCGAACAGG